AUCUCAAACUAAGACAUUACUCAAAACAUACUUGCCUGCUUUAUCUCACCUUCUAAAACAACAAUGGCCGAAGGAGUUUUAUUCAAUGUUGCUGAAAGUCUUGUUGAGAUGUUGCUUUCAGCAGUAUUCGAAGAGGUUGGAGUGCUUUACUGUAUGAAGGGCGAGGUUCAGAAACUUGUUGAUACGACAAACAUAGUUAAAGGUGUACUUCUCGAUGCAGAACAGAAGAUGGCUGUCGAUAAUAGUGUCAAAGCUUGGCUCAAACAGCUUGGAGAUGCAUUUUUUGUUGCUGAUGACUUGGUGGACAAGUUUCAUACAAAAGCUAUGCAACGUAGAGUGAUGUCUGGGAAUAAAUUCACCAGGCAGGUACGUGUUUUCUUCUCCAGCUCUAAUCAGCUAGUUUUUCGUAUUAAGAUGGGUCAUCAGAUUAAAGAUAUAAGAGAAAAACUAGAUGAUAUAAGAGUCAAUAAGAGUUUUCAGUUGAAUGAUCGUCUAGAAGAAACAAUAGUUGCCGGUGGAAGUCGUAUGAGGGAGACCUGCUCAUAUGUGGAUGAAGGGGAAGUUAUUGGGAGAGAGGAUGAAAAGAAGGAAAUUAUUCGAUUAUUGGUGGAAAUGGAGUUUGAAGAGGAUGUGUCUUUCGUUCCAAUAUUAGGUAUUGGAGGGUUAGGAAAAACCACACUAGCUCAAUAUGUUUUCAAUGACGAGAAAGUCCAAAAACAUUUUGAACCAAAAAUGUGGGUGUGUGUUUCUGAUGUUUUUGAUGUGAAAUUACUAGUUGCAAAAAUUAUAACGUCUGAUUCUUAUAACAAUCUUGAAAACCUUCAGUUGGAACAAUUACAGAAUCAACUUAGAGCUAAGCUAAGUGGAAAGAAAUACCUCCUUGUGUUGGAUGAUGUGUGGAAUGAGGAUGGUGAAAAAUGGUGCAUGUUAGAGAUGAUGUUGAAGUGUGGAGGAAGGGGUAGUAGAGUCUUAGUAACCACUCGCAGUGAAAUGGUUGCUAGGAUAACUAAGAGUCAGACAAUUUUGCCAUUGGAAGUAAAAGGUUUGAGCAAAGAUAUGUCUUGGUACUUGUUCAAGAGAAUGGCAUUCGAGAAAGAACAAGAGCCGGUUGAGGGUUCAAAAAUAAUGGAGCUAGGAAUGGAGGUUGUAGAAAAGUGCAAGGGAGUUCCUUUGGCCAUAAGGACAAUAGGAAGAUUAUUGCAGUCAAGGCUAUGGCAGUCUCAAAACCCGGAAAAGGAGUUAUCGUGGUUUCUGAAUAGUGAACUUGCAAAAAUAGAUCAAAAUGAAAAUGAUAUCUUACCCACCCUCAUGCUAAGUUAUAAUCAUCUCCCUUCACAUUUGAAGCAUUGCUUUGCUUACUGUAGAUUGUUUCCAAAAGAUUAUAAAAUUGAAGUGAGGGAGUUGAUACAACUAUGGAUGGCCCAAGGAUUUACAAAAUGCUCUCAUCACAAAAAUCAGUGUCUUGAAGAUAUUGGUUAUGAGUAUUUUAUAAAUCUACUUUGGAGAUCUUUUUUUCAAGAACCAAUAAGGAAUGAGUUUGGUGACAUAAUAUCAUGCAAAAUGCAUGACCUCAUGCAUGAUCUUGCUAUUUUGGUGGCAGGAUCAGAUAGUGUCAUAAUCAAUCAAAAUACUAAAAUCUCUGGCGAAAAAAGUCUCCAUGUGUCAUUAGUUGAUUUUGAUUUCGAACUAGAAACCAACAAUUCACGUCAGAAUUUAGAUUUAUUUUCUCAACAAAAAAGACUUCGAACUUUUCUUUCACAUAACUGUAAAGAGUUGAGCUUCUCCAAACUUCAGAACUAUUUGUUCAAGUUUAAGUGCCUACGAGCUUUGAGUCUUUCUCGCAUGGACAUUGAGGUGUUGCCAAAGAAUUUGUGUGAAUUGGAACAUUUGAGAUAUCUUAAUCUUUCUUAUAAUUCUAAAUUAAAAAUGCUUCCAAGCUCUUUGGUAAGAUUACAGAAUUUGCAGACUCUGAAUCUCUCAUAUUGUUCUUAUCUCUUUAGAUUACCUCAAAACAUGAAGAAAUUGGUCAACUUAAGGCAUCUUAUGAUUCAAGGGUGUCGUAGGUUGACUGAGAUGCCCCCUGAAUUUGGGUAUAUGCCUUCCCUUCACACAUUAGAUAGAUUUGUUGUAUCUGAGUCGAGUGGGUUUCAAGAACUGAGCAACCUUAUUAACAACUUACAGCAAGGAGGCUUAAGUAUUCAAAGACUGAGACACACAACAAACUAUGUUGCAUCGAAAUCCACGGCACCAACUUUAAAGCGAGUCAUUUGUGAAGGGAAGCAUAAUCUUCAAUGGUUGAGGUUAUUGUGGGAAGAAGUUGAUGAGAGUAAUGAUAAUAAGGUGGAAAUUUAUGAGUUUGCACUUGAGGGUUUGCAGCCACCUUCCAGUCUACAAGUGUUGGUAGUGUGGAAAUUUAUGGGUGUGAGAUUGGGAGGUUGGCUUUCUUCAUUGGAUAACCUUGUUCGAUUGGAGUUAAUCAGAUGUAAGAAGUGUCAAUAUCUCCCAAAAUUAGAUCAUUUGGCUUGUCUCAAGGAACUUAAGAUUGUGGAUGUUGAAGCUGAGUACAUGUGCUCCUCAGCCGAAGAUGAAGACUUUGAUGAUGCCGACUUGUUCUUUCCAUCCCUGGUGAGUCUUUGUAUUGAAAAAUGUCCAAAUCUCAAGUGGUGGUGGUGGUGGAAGAGGGAAUUAGAUUGGAAUGAGAUUAGAUCAUUUCCUCGUCUUUCCAAUCUAGAAAUAUUCAAGUGUCCUAACCUCGCAUCAAUGCCCUUGUUUCCAUGUAUUGAAAGUGUUGAACUCAAAGAAAGUAGCUCAAAGCCAUUAGAAGAAACGUGGAAAAUGAUAAGGGGAAUAAGGAACAUUCAUGGGAACAUUUCAUUCCUCAAGUCUAUCAGGAUCGAAAGCUGCCGUGAUUUGACAUCAAUCCUAGAAGGGAUUGGGAACCUCCCUUCCCUUAAUACUAUCUAUGUACGUGACUGCCCCAAUUUGACAUCAAUUCCUGACAACUUAAGCAAUUGUGUAUCAAAAUCUAUUAGCGGAUGCCCCAAGUUGGCACAAACAUACCGUGAUUGAAGUUUUUCUAUUGUGCAUGUGCAUACGUUGGUGAUUAAAUAUGUGGAUAGAUAUGCUGCACCCUCCUCACAGAGUGGAUUGAAGCAUGUUACAUACAACCAUCAAAGCUAACAAUCUAGCUAAAAAGCCAGUUGAAGGAUGAAUCUCCAUGGAUUGGUCAUCUGAGCAUCAAUUGUAACUUUGACUUCAACUAAAAAGCUGAACAUGGCAGGACUAUGAUAAUGCUUGCUUGGGUUUCAAAGACUGCUUCAUGAAUAUAAAAGAGUAAAACAUACAUAUAGUUCCACUUUUUUUUUGGAGAGUUCAUUAAAAAAAAUCUUGAUAGUCUUUAGUUAUUACAGCAUUAUUCUUAUUAUUAGAUUGUGUGAUUCUUGCUUUUAUUUUUAAUUUGGUUUUAGAUUUCAUUGUUCAUUAGAGAGGUCAUCAUGGAUUCUAGAACACAACAAAGAAAAAUACUAGUGAGCAUACUUGAUAACUAUACAUUAUUCAUUGAACUAUAUUCUAAAUUAUAGCUGUAAAUAUGGGUCGGCCGAGCCCAUAGGCAUGACCCAUGUCGUGUCGUGAUUCGUGU